CUGAAUGGGGAAAUGUCUCAUCCUCGUUUCUUUAGGAAUAUAUCCAUAACAUGCUACAUUAACAGAGUUAGUUCUAGGGCUGACAUUUUAAUAGAAGUUGAGUAAUAGUAUUUUCUCCUACAAAA